AAGCAAAAAAGGCAAAUUUAUACGCAAGUAUUGCACUCGUUACAGAAGUGAGAAAACAUUCCGCUCCAACGUUAAAACUCUGUCAACUCAAAAGUUCAAACUUUAAUAAAAAUUCAGUGGAC